rnacentral:tRNA from 1 species
UGCGGCCUAGCUCAGUUGGUAGAGCGCGCUCUUGAUAAGGGCGAGGUCGUGGGUUCAAGCCCCGCGGCCGCAACCA